CCUACGGGUGGCAGCAGUAGGGAAUCUUCCACAAUGGGCGAAAGCCUGAUGGAGCAACGCCGCGUGCGUGAAGAAGGUCUUCGGCUCGUAAAACCCUGUUGUUAGAGAAGAAAGUGCGUGAGAGUAACUGUUCACGUUUUGACGGUAUCUAACCAGAAAGCCACGGCUAACUACGUGCCAGCAGCCGCGGUAAUACGUAGGUGGCAGGCGUUGUCCUGAUUUAUUGGGCGUAAAGGGCACGCAGGCGGUCGUUUAAGUCUGAUGUGAAAGCCCUCGGCUUAACCGGAGUAGUGCAUUGGAAACGGGCAGACUUGAGUGCAGAAGAGGAGAGGGGAACUCCAUGUGUAGCGGUGAAAUGCGUAGAUAUAUGGAAGAACACCAGUGGCGAAGGCGGCUCUCUGGUCUGUAACUGACGCUGAGGUUCGAAAGCGUGGGUAGCAAACAGGAUUAGAUACCCGAGUAGUC
rnacentral:rRNA from 1 species